GCUGGUGUGGCUCAGUGGAAGAGCACUGGCCCAGGCACCAAAGGGUCACGGGUUCGAUUCCUGGUCAAGAGCA
rfam:Myotis lucifugus cont2.15447, whole genome shotgun sequence.